GUGAAUCAUCGAAUCUUUGAACGCAAAUUGCGCCUUUUUCGGAAGGCAUGUCUGUUUGAGGGCACCAUUUAACAAAUAAUGUGCACCGUUUUGUGUGUGCACACGUUGAUGAGCUUUCCAGGAAAAAAAAUAUUUUUUUUUUUUUUUGGUGGCGCAUAAUGAACAGCCCGAAAGCUUUUUUUUUAGUUUGAGUGUUGGAAAAUCUUUGGUUGGGUUGUUAAAAGCCAGU
rnacentral:misc_RNA from 1 species